rnacentral:rRNA from 1 species
GACGAACGCUGGCGGCGUGCUUAACACAUGCAAGUCGAACGGAAAGGCCCUGCUUUUGUGGGGUGCUCGAGUGGCGAACGGGUGAGUAACACGUGAGUAACCUGCCCUUGACUUUGGGAUAACUUCAGGAAACUGGGGCUAAUACCGGAUAGGAGCUCCUGCUGCAUGGUGGGGGUUGGAAAGUUUCGGCGGUUGGGGAUGGACUCGAGGCUUAUCAGCUUGUUGGUGGGGUAGUGGCUUACCAAGACUUUGACGGGUAGCCGGCCUGAGAGGGUGAACGGACGCAUUAGGACGGAUGAACGGCCCAGACUCCAACGGGAGGCAGCACUGGGGGAUAUUGCUCCUCGCGAGGACGCCUGUGACAACAACGCCGCUAGCGGGAUGACCGCCUUCGGGUUGAAAACCGCUUUCGCCUGUGACGAAGCGGGAGUGACGGUAAUGAGUAGAGAUGCACCGGAUAACUACGUG